rnacentral:rRNA from 1 species
AAUGAUCGCUGGCGGCGUGCUUAACACAUGCAAGUCGAGCGAGAAAGCUUCUUCGGAAGCGAGUAAAGCGGCGGACGAGUUAGUAACACGUAAGAAUUUACCCUUCAGUGAAGAAUACUCUCGAGAAAUCGAGGUUAAUGCUGCAUACGUCCGGUCAGAGAGAUUUGAUCGGAGAAAGAUGGCCUCUUUGCUGUCGCUGAGGGAUAAGCUUGCGCACUAUUAGUUAGUUGGUGGGGUAGAGGCCUACCAAGACAAUGAUGGUUAGCCGGCCUGAGAGGGUGUACGGCAACGCUGGAACUUAGACACGGUCCAG